AGAGGUGUGGCUCAGGGGUAGAUCAUGUGCUUAGUUAGCAUGCACGGGGCCCUGGGUUUGAUUCCCAGUGCCACCA
rnacentral:tRNA from 1 species